CUCGUCGCUGGAUCCGGCAACCAAAUCGCCGCUGCACACCGCAGGGACGUUCUCCCGGCUCUCUGCUCUCCCUUGCCCCUCUGUUCUCUCCCUCACUCUCUCUCUCUCUCUCACAGAUGGUGGCCACCAACCGCCGGUGGAGAGGAGGAGCUCGUCGUCGGUGAACUCGCGGGUGGAGAGGAGGAAAUCGUCGUCGGUAAACUCGCGAGUUAAGUCGCCGAGGGCGCCGCCGCCGAGGAGACGAAGCCCUCGGGUUCCCGCUGCCGCUGUGGAGAUGAGCCGCCAAAGCCACGGGUUCUAGUGAUUUGCUGAUUUAGAUUGUAUUGUGAUUUGUUGUUUUAGAUUGUACUGUGAUUGUACGCAGCCGGAUUUGUUGUUUCAUUAGAUUAAUUUGUUUGGUUUGUGAUUAUUGAAUAGAAGAUGCGGGCUUAUGGCCUGCUUUUUGUUUU